CAGCGCCAGCGGUUUCCAGAAAUUGAUGCUGGUGAAAAGUGGAUGACAGCGUCCUGCCUAAUCAAGCCGAUUUUUUCCUGCACAAUAACUAGUAUGUAUUAAUCAUAAUCACCUAUGUUAUUUGUCAUAUAGAGGUAUUGUGCUCUUUACAAACUGAUGGUGUAACGUAAUCACUCCAGAUGUGAAGGAGUGGUGUCGUCUGAUCAAUCCAGCUUUUCUUUAAAAUAACCGCUGUGAAUUAAUCAUUUAUAUAAUCGUCUGUAUGUUAUUUGAAAUAUUUAACGAAUAUUGUGUUCUUCACAAACUGACGGCCUAAUUUCAUUUCACAGUGUGUUACUGAUUUCGCGCACUUUUUGGUCCUUUUCGAUGCUGAUGUGAAGGAGUGGUGUCGUCGUGCCUGAUCAAUCCAGCUUUUCUUUAAAAUAACCGGUGACUGACAUUACCUCACAUCGGAAAAGAACAGCUCUUAAGGGAUUGGCAAUUUUUCUGCGUGAGAAGCCAGCAUGUUUACUCAAGAUGUGCCUGGAUACUGAUCCUGUGGACCACUGCACCAAAGGUGUAAAGAUUGGAAUUCUUACUGUGGUCAAAGAUGAUGUUGCUGCCGUCACAUCACUGCCAAAUGUGAUCAACCUGGCCAUAAUCCUGGAAGAGGCCAUUGUGCUUGAGGACAUUCCAGAUCUGCCAGCAGCAUUCGCAUACUUGUUUGGUCUCAUGUAUGCACUCAACAUGGAGUAUCCAAAAGAACUUAAGUAUACUUUUGAAGUAAUACAAAAAAUCUUCAUGGAUCUUGGUGGCAUCUGCUCUGCAAGAGUGCAGUCAUUGAAGUCUAAACUUUGCUAAAUGGACAAAUGCAUCUGAAUGACGUUCUUCCAGUGGCCAUUGUUUAUUUUAUACUUUCAUAGUUAAUGACUAAAAAACAAUACUGUUUUCUUUCAAUGCAUUC